AUUGAACGCUGGCGGCAGGCCUAACACAUGCAAGUCGAACGAGUGGAGGACGGGUGAGUAAUGUCUGGGAAACUGCCUGAUGGAGGGGGAUAACUACUAGAAACGGUAGCUAAUCCCGCAUACCAUCAGAUGUGCCCAGAUGGGAUUAGAUAGUAGGUGGGGUAAUGGCUCCCCUAGGCGACGAUCCCUAGCUGGUCUGAGAGGAUGACCAGCCACACGGGAACUUGGACGCGGUCCAGACUCCUACGGUAGGCAGCAGUGUUUAAUAGUGCACAAUGGGCGCAAGUCUGAUGCAGCCAUGCGGCGUGUGUGAAGGAGGCCUUCGGGUUGUAAAGCACUUUCAGCGAGGAGGCGUUACUCGCAGAAGAAGCCCCGGCUAACUCCGUGCCAGCAGCCGCGGUAAUUC
rnacentral:rRNA from 1 species